rnacentral:rRNA from 1 species
UACGAAGGGGGCUAGCGUUGUUCGGAUUUACUGGGCGUAAAGCGCGCGUAGGCGGAUUUUUAAGUCAGGGGUGAAAUCCCGGGGCUCAACCUCGGAACUGCCCUUGAUACUGGGAAUCUAGAGUUCGGGAGAGGUGAGUGGAACUGCGAGUGUAGAGGUGAAAUUCGUAGAUAUUCGCAAGAACACCAGUGGCGAAGGCGGCUCACUGGCCCGAUACUGACGCUGAGGCACGAAAGCGUGGGGAGCAAACAGG